UACGUAGGUGGCAAGCGUUGUCCGGAUUUACUGGGCGUAAAGAGCGCGCGAGGCGGUUGAUCAAGUCGAAUGUGAAAGCCCCCGGCUUAACUGGGGAGGGUCAUUCGAUACUGCUCGACUUGAAGGCAGGAGAGGGAAGUGGAAUUCCCGGUGUAGUGGUGAAAUGCGUAGAUAUCGGGAGGAACACCAGUGGCGAAGGCGACUUCCUGGCCUGUUCUUGACGCUGAGGCGCGAAAGCUGGGGGAGCAAACGGG
rnacentral:rRNA from 1 species